rnacentral:rRNA from 1 species
GGGGUGCUCGAGUGGCGAACGGGUGAGUAACACGUGAGUAACCUGCCCUUGACUUUGGGAUAACUUCAGGAAACUGGGGCUAAUACCGGAUAGGAGCUCCUGCUGCAUGGUGGGGGUUGGAAAGUUUCGGCGGUUGGGGAUGGACUCGCGGCUUAUCAGCUUGUUGGUGGGGUAGUGGCUUACUAAGGCUUUGACGGGUAGCCGGCCUGAGAGGGUGACCGGCCACAUUGGGACUGAGAUACGGCCCAG